CUCUCCCGAGUCCGCAGCAGCCGCCGCCAGCAGCUGCGCAAAGGCUCGACAAACCCUAACCCUAGUCCAUAGCUAGCUUAGCUUCCUUCCUCUCGAUCUAGCUAGAGCCAUGGCGCCGACCAAGGGCGAGGGGCCGGCCAUCGGCAUCGACCUCGGCACCACCUACUCGUGCGUCGGCGUGUGGCAGCACGACCGCGUCGAGAUCAUCGCCAACGACCAGGGCAACCGCACCACGCCCUCGUACGUCGCCUUCACCGACUCGGAGCGCCUCAUCGGCGAUGCCGCCAAGAACCAGGUCGCCAUGAACCCCAUCAACACCG
rnacentral:lncRNA from 1 species